UAAAUUGUCUGGCUGGAAUUUUAAUGUUUUCCUUUUUUUUCCCGCUCAUUUGGUUUCUUCUUUUUUGAGCUAUGCGCACACAUGGAGCUGGGCACACUGGAGAGCUGAGGAACUACUGGAUGCCAUAGAGCAGUUGCCAGAUGGUGGUUGAUUCCUGACAAUAUGGACAUUCGCAACGAAUUCAUUUACAUUGUUGUUGUUGCUAUCUUUGUGGUCGUUGUUUUUGCUGUGGCUGCUUAUUAUUUUGUCAAAAGCGAUUCGGAGCCUCUAGACGAGGUAUGAACAAGAGAGAAGUAACAACAAUCAUCCUGUCGAGCAAAACUUUUGCUUUUAUUUAUUUAGCUGCACACCAGAAACAACAAAAGGCAGCCAGAGGCAAGACGAAUCUGUUGAUGCACUUAUGCGCUAAUCAUAUGUGCAAUUCGUUUUUAGGCAGACUAAUUUUUGCAAAUGUUUACAAAUGCGUACGAAGAAAGUAUAUACAUUUUCAGAGAGCCUAUAAAAGUGGCGUGUCACACCUUGUAAAAGGCAAA